rnacentral:rRNA from 1 species
GACGAACCGUGCAAACGUUGUUCGGAAUCACUGGGCUUAAAGGGCGCGUAGGCGGGCCAGCCAGUCUGUGGUGAAAGCCUCCAGCUUAACUGGAGAAGUGCCGUGGAUACUGCUGGCCUCGAGGAGGAUAGGGGCAUCUGGAACGGUCGGUGGAGCGGUGAAAUGCGUUGAUAUCGACCGGAACUCCGGUGGCGAAGGCGAGGUGCUGGGUCCUUUCUGACGCUGAUGCGCGAAAGCGUGGGGAGCGAACCGG